rnacentral:rRNA from 1 species
GAUCGGUCUUGAAUAGGCCAGAUAGUGGGUUUUUAACCUGCGACUGAAGGCGUAGAGAAAUCAAAUCGUGUGAUCGUGGCGGCAACAACAGCCGUCUGCGCGCAACAUGUGCCUGUUCGUAUAGUUGUGUUAGCAAUAACCAACUGAGCGGAGCAAAGAGAUGCUUGAUUGGGACCCGAAAGAUGGUGAACUAUGCUUGGGCAAAUUGAAGCCAGAGGAAACUCUGGUGGAGGAUUGUAGCGAUUCUGACGUGCAAAUCGAUCGUCAGACCUGAGUAUAGGGGCGAAAGACUAAUCGAACCAUCUAGUAGCUGGUUCCUUCCG